rnacentral:rRNA from 1 species
AGAAGAAGCUUGCUUUUUUGAGACCGGCGCACGGGUGAGUAACGCGUAUGCAACCUACCUUAUACAGGGGAAUAGCCCGAAGAAAUUCGGAUUAAUGCUCCAUGGUUUAUCGAUAUGGCAUCGUAUUGAUAAUAAAGAUUUAUCGGUAUAAGAUGGGCAUGCGUAUCAUUAGCUAGUUGGUGUGGUAACGGCAUACCAAGGCAACGAUGAUUAGGGGUCCUGAGAGGGAGAUCCCCCACACUGGUACUGAGACACGGACCAGACUCCUACGGGAGGCAGCAGUGAGGAAUAUUGGUCAAUGGAGGCAACUCUGAACCAGCCAUGCCGCGUGCAGGAUGACGGUCCUAUGGAUUGUAAACUGCUUUUGUACAGGAAGAAACCUCCCUACGAGUAGGGACUUGACGGUACUGUAAGAAUAAGGAUCGGCUAACUCCGUGCCAGCAGCCGCGGUAAUACGGAGGAUCCGAGCGUUAUCCGGAAUUAUUGGGUUUAAAGGGUUCGUAGGCGGCUUUGUAAGUCAGUGGUGAAAUUUCCUAGCUUAACUAGGACACUGCCAUUGAUACUGCAGAGCUUGAAUAAUAUGGAAGUAACUAGAAUAUGUAGUGUAGCGGUGAAAUGCUUAGAUAUUACAUGGAAUACCAAUUGCGAAGGCAGGUUACUACGUAUUUAUUGACGCUGAUGAACGAAAGCGUGGGGAGCGAACAGGAUUAGAUACCCUGGUAGUCCACGCCGUAAACGAUGGAUACUAGCUGUUCGGUUUUCGGACUGAGUGGCUAAGCGAAAGUGAUAAGUAUCCCACCUGGGGAGUACGUUCGCAAGAAUGAAACUCAAAGGAAUUGACGGGGGCCCGCACAAGCGGUGGAGCAUGUGGUUUAAUUCGAUGAUACGCGAGGAACCUUACCAGGGCUUAAAUGUAGAUUGACAGAUUUGGAAACAGAUUUUUCUUCGGACAAUUUACAAGGUGCUGCAUGGUUGUCGUCAGCUCGUGCCGUGAGGUGUCAGGUUAAGUCCUAUAACGAGCGCAACCCCUAUUGUUAGUUACUCAUCGCGUAGUGGCGGGGACUCUAGCAAGACUGCCGGUGCAAACCGUGAGGAAGGUGGGGAUGACGUCAAAUCAUCACGGCCCUUACGUCCUGGGCUACACACGUGCUACAAUGGCAAGUACAGAAAGCAGCUACCUGGCAACAGGAUGCGAAUCUCCAAAGCUUGUCUCAGUUCGGAUUGGAGUCUGCAACUCGACUCUAUGAAGCUGGAAUCGCUAGUAAUCGGAUAUCAGCCAUGAUCCGGUGAAUACGUUCCCGGGCCUUGUACACACCGCCCGUCAAGCCAUGGAAGCUGGGGGUACCUGAAGUCGGUGACCGCAAGGAGC